AAAAAAAUAUAUAAGUAAAGCAAGAUUCUUAUGGUUGUUGUCCACUGAUGCACUAGACAUCGUGGUCCGUGUCUUUUCUUUCCUCGCUGAAGCCACACCACCUAUUCAGGUCCAACGAAUCCUGCGGAGCUGGUCUCCGGCAAGUGGACACAGACAAUUCUUUGGCAUGGAUUGGUGUCGUUUGAGGAUUUGGCUGUGGACUUCACCUGGGAGGAGUGGCAGUACCUGGAUGAUGCUCAGAGGAGCCUGUGCAGGGAUGUGAUGCUGGAGACCUAUAGCAGCCUGGUGGUGUUGGGCUGCUACAUUCCCAAAUCAGAGGUGAUCUUCAAGUUGGAGCAGGGAGCAGAGUCAUGGACAUUAGAAGAAACCCUCAACCAGAGCCUACAAGGUCAGUCAGUGCAUAAUGGGCAGGGAGGCAGGGAAGAGUAAAGCCCAGCAUUUGUUGGUCAUGUUCUGCUGUUUCUGCCAUUUUUUCCAUAGGUCCCAGAUCUGAACACAGCUUGUCUGUUUGCAGAAAACACAUGCCUUAUAUAAUCUCCAAGGAUGACUGUCACAUGUAUACCCCCACGUUUUAUUCUCCUAAAUGUUUUUAAAAUGUUUUCACAUUUUAUUGCAUCUUAUUGGAUUGUGUUUUACACAUGCAUUCUAUGUAAUGAAUCAGGAGAAAUAAUACUUUACAUUUGACUCUAUUUUCUCUCACACCUCACAUGGAAUCCAUAGAAUUUUUUUUCUGUUUUCUCACUACCUCUAUUGCCACAUGGUUACAUCCACCUCAGUCUCUCACAGAGGUGCUUCCAGAGAGUCAGAUCACAUCUGG